GUGACGUGUACUGAACACAAUAUAUUAUAUAAUGUAAACAACUACCUGAGAAACAGCAGAUACAGCAGAUAAAUUAAUUAUAGGCCAUUACUUUUGUAUCGUUUAUUGCAUUUAUGGAGGGAGAGGUGUAUGCUGGGUAAUGGCACAGCUAGCGACCGGGUGACUUUAUUCACCCGCUUCGGCUGUUAUCAGUCCAUACAAUGGGCGUUAUUAGCAGAAAUCAGUCCCAUAGAUGUGGGCCAUCCACCUGCUAGAUUGUUCAGAAGGUUGUUAUCAUCCAUCCAGAUGGAGGAUCACUGACAGGAGCGUGGAAGACUCCAGAAUCCACUCUGGCUGGAAUCCGGUGGAUACAGCAGUGUUACAGGUACAGUACGUGAUAUUAAGGGCAGGCGGUCAUCACUGGGGGAAGACAAGAAGCAGACGUACUUCCAAGAGGGAGCUGCAGUGAGGACACAGCCUGGUCACUGAGGUCAGAGGAGGCGCUGAAAGGUUUCCCUAAUAGUUCCUGGUGAAUCAAAGCAGGACCAUAAAGGUUGCUGGACUGCAUGAUGGCCUUACCCCUGAGCAGUCAUCCUGUUAAAGGAGGAACCAGUUAGAAGCUGUUUUCAAAGUAGCUGAGCAGAUUUCAU